GCAAGGUGGGGAGACGUUGCAGGAAUUUGACCUGGAGAAGAUCCAGCGGCAGAUUAGCAGCCGCUUCCUCCAGGGCAAGCCCCGGCUCACCCUCAAGGGGAUACCCACGCUGGUAUACAGACAUGAUUGGAACUUCGAACAUCUCUUUGUGGACAUCAA